AAGGAGACGAAGGAGCUGAUAGAACAGCUUCUAAAUGACUUCAUGGAGGCAAUGGACACAAUGGGAAUCAUGCUCUUUGACAAGGACAGGAUGGAAGAGAUCUGGCGGACACAGCAGCGCCACAACGACUGCAUCCAGGACCCACCAGGAACAAGUGCAAGUGACCUUCAUUUUCAGGAUGAUGUGGAGGCAGAAAGGAUAUCUGCUAUGGUGGCCAACUGCAGCAGUGCGCCAUCAUCCUGAGCCAGCUAUUUAU